AUGAACGCUGGCGGCGUGCCUAAUACAUGCAAGUCGAGCGAACGGACGAGAAGCUUGCUUCUCUGAUGUUAGCGGCGGACGGGUGAGUAACACGUGGAUAACCUACCUAUAAGACUGGGAUAACUUCGGGAAACCGUAGCUAAUACCGGAUAAUAUUUUGAACCGCAUGGUUCAAAAGUGAAAGACGGUCUUGCUGUCACUUAUAGAUGGAUCCGCGCUGCAUUAGCUAGUUGGUAAGGUAACGGCUUACCAAGGCAACGAUGCAUAGCCGACCUGAGAGGGUGAUCGGCCACACUGGAACUGAGACACGGUCCAGACUCCUACGGGAGGCAGCAGUAGGGAAUCUUCCGCAAUGGGCGAAAGCCUGACGGAGCAACGCCGCGUGAGUGAUGAAGGUCUUCGGAUCGUAAAACUCUGUUAUUAGGGAAGAACAUAUGUGUAAGUAACUGUGCACAUCGUGACGGUACCUAAUCAGAAAGCCACGGCUAACUACGUG
rnacentral:rRNA from 1 species